AGUUGCGUGGUCUAAUGGUUAUGAUUUCUCAUUCACAUUCUGGUUGUUAACUGAGAAGGUUCCCGGUUCGAUCCCGGGCGCGACUA
rnacentral:tRNA from 1 species